rnacentral:rRNA from 1 species
UAAAAACCCCGACUUCGGAAGGGGUGUAUUUAUUAGAUACAAAACCAAUGCCCUUCGGGGCUCUUUGGUGAUUCAUGAUAACUAUACGAAUCGCACGGCCUUGCGCCGGCGAUGGUUCAUUCAAAUUUCUUCCCUAUCAACUUUCGAUGUUUGGGUAUUGGCCAAACAUGGUUGCAACGGGUAACGGAGGGUUAGGGCUCGACCCCGGAGAAGGAGCCUGAGAAACGGCUACUACAUCCAAGGAAGGCAGCAGGCGCGCAAAUUACCCAAUCCCGACUCGGGGAGGUAGUGACAAUAAAUACUGAUACAGGGCCCUUUCGGGCCUUGUAAUUGGAAUGAGUACAAUUUAAAUCCCUUAACGAGGAACAAUUGGAGGGCAAGUCUGGUGCCAGCAGCCGCGGUAAUUCCAGCUCCAAUAGCGUAUAUUAAAGUUGUUGUGGUUAAAAAGCUCGAAGUUGAACCUUGGGCCUGGCUGGCCGGUCCGCCUCACCACAUGAAUUGGUAUGGCCGGGACAUUCCCUCUGCGAAACCCCUUAAACUUCACUUAGCGUGGCGGGGAAAAAGACAGGAAUUAAA